AGGUUCCCUCAGCCUUCAGCACCUUGAGAGCUUGUUUGGAGGCCCUAGCAGGGGUGCAAAGCUACUCAUAUACCCUUGGCUGAAGACCAGUCCUCCUCUAUCAGGGACUGUCGAGAUGGCAGGAUGAGAUUGUGGUCUUCCAUCCACACAGCUACCCCUUCACCGUGUGAUCUCCGCAUACCAGCUAUCUUUUGCCUUCUGACAUGAACGGAAGAAGCCUGCAGCCCUCACCAGAAGCAGAUGCUGGUGCCACGCUUCUUGUACAGCCGGCAGAACUGGAGCAGGUAGGAUGCCAGGAUGGGACUCGCCUCUGCUCUGGUUGAUGAGGCGCUGUGAGGAUGGCAGGGAAUGUUCUUCCCUCAGGAGGUGAGGAGAAGGUCUCUCACUCCCACAGCUUCUUCUGGUACUUUCUGGUAGAUUAGCCCAAGACUCCUGCUUUCGGCAGCCCGCAGUGGAGCAGGGAUGCAGAGCUGCGGUCAGGCCACCGGUGUCCUCGUCCAUCAAUCGCUAACCAGGGCAGGAUGGGUGAGGAGCAGGACUCUUGCAGGCAGAGAUGAGUUGGGGUCCUCGGGCUGCCCAAGAUCAGGCAACAAGCAAGAAGGAACUGUCAAAAGGGAGAAGAUUCUUCCUUAACACUGAACGUGACUUACAUACCAGCAGCCACCAGGCCAGCUGCCAUUGGGAAUGCUAUGAGCCUCACAGCCAGCCAAUGAAGUGAAUGGGGUUAUUCCCAUUUCCCAGGCGAGGAAACUGAGGGCCUCAGGGGAUAUGAAGCUGGGAAGAGCAGUGGAGCCCUGGAGCUAUGUCUGGACCUUCCUGCCUCCAAAGCUUCCUCCAACAAGGGAGGAAAGGGGAGCAUCCUGGGCAAGCUGCACAUUCCCAGAACAAAACAACCAAAGACGCAGCCCACAGGGAUGGGUGAACCAGAGCAUGGCAUCCUGGACACAGGGCUGGACUGAGGAUCAACCACAGGGAUGAAGCCCGGCUCCAGCUUGUCCCCACUGUAUUUGCCAGGAGAAAUCCCUUCUCGACCUGGCCUCCAUUCCCUGUCUGUAAACAGGAUAGCAUCACGCUGGGCGAUGUCUGAGGUUCCUUCCAGCCCCAGUGUUUUAUUUAUCUAGUUUCUGGUGGUAAAAGCCCUGGGCAGGGACUGUAAGCUGUGCCUUCCUGUUUUGUAGGUGAGAAUGUGUUCUCUAAACACCUUUAGCAAGAUGACAUGGGGACCGCGGCCUUCAGGCAGAACUGUGUGUGCUUGGAGGUGGCAAAUGGAGGCACAGAUGUUUUCUUCUGGGUGAAGGAGUCUCCACACUCCCUCCAUGAUAGUGCCUGGGGCAUGGGCCUCCCUGGCAGAAUAGCUGGCCCCAGCUGGGGACUCUAGGUCUGCUUUAAAAUGCUCCAGGGCUUCUGGAUGUGCUCAUGGAAUGGGCUUAAAUUCAGAGCAGGGAAGAAAAACAAGCCCAUGGACCAAACAAGUCCUGCACCAUUAGAUCAAGGAGACAUUGCUGUGCUGGAAAACAGGAGUCGUUUGUGAGAUAAAUGUACUGCUGGGAGACUUGACCUUGUUCCACCCGCAAUACCGUGUGCGGUUAUUCAUGGGACUUCUUGGGUAAAUCAGCUGAGCUCAGAGCUGCAAGGAGGCUUAUAGGCCUUCCCAUUGAGCAUGAGAAUGAAUAAGUGGCUGUAGCCAUAAGCUGUCACUGGUACCAACUGAGACACGGUGGAUGCUGGGCACCUGAGGAGUCACAGUCAGUGGGGAGACAAGGAAUGAGGCUGUUGUGCACUGGGCCAGGUGCAAGAGAAUCGCCACCUCUCACUCUGCCAAGCCAGCAGUGGGAUGAACGGGAAGAACCCAGAGGAGAGGGUGCCUCGUGCUGAUUCCCAGGGCAGAUAGAGACAAGGAGGAACAGCCUGUGCCGAGCCCAACACACACAAGCUUGCAUGCCGAGCCCAAUGCAUGGCAGUGUGCAUCUGGGAAUUCUGUCUGCUUUCUGGCCCUCUCCAGGGUUCCUCCGCAUCCUAUGCAUGAUACAUUGACUUGCCUCCUGGCAUCUGUCUCCUUUAAUGACCAUGCCCUUCUCCAGGAGAGAAAGACAGUCUUUCUCAUCUGUUUCUUGGCACCCAGCACGCAGCCAGGUAGAGCGGAUGACCAGUAAGGUGUGGCUGAAUGGACUUGGUGACUACUCAUGUUACUCAGAGAUUAAGGCACAAGCCCACUAAGAAACCUACGCAGGACAGCCUGACGUGGCUCCCCACCAGGGGCUCCCUAUGAGACGCUGCACUGGAUACAGGCUGGUGGACCCCCGCACGUGUGUUCUGUUCUCAAAUGUCUCCUUCACCAUGAAUCACCUGCAUCCUCCCACCAGCUCUCUCUCUGCCCCCUUCUGAGGCUCCUUCAGCAGUUGGCUGCUCCAAAUGUUAAAAAUCCAGGCAGGAAUUUGCCCACAAAUCAGAUUUGGGAUUUCCUGAUAGCAGGAGCUGAGCUGGUCAUCUCCGGAUCCCCCAGACCUAGCAUGGAUACCGAAUGGAAUACUUUUAGAAGAUGUGAGUAGCACCUGGUAACAUUGUGAAGUUGAUGAAACUUUUCUGCCAUGCUGUCAUAUCCUGGCAUGAUAGUCUGGGUGCCGGGAAACGAACAAUAGCUAAUGUGGAUACAGUGUGAGCUGGGUGUCUGGUGCUUGGGGCACUAGGCACUUUAACCAAAGCAAUCCUCAUAAAAACCUUACAAGGUAGGAGUUGGUAUUAUCACAGCCUCAAUUCACAGAAGAGGAACCAGAGGGUGGGAAGUUAAGUAACUUGCUCAAGGUCAUACCAUUAAUUAAUAGUGGAGCCCAGGUUCAAACCUAGACAGCUAGGUUCAAUCUGUGUUCCCAACCACCACAUCUUCCUGCCACUUAAGACGAGGGACUCAAUACAUAUUCACUGAAGGCAAGAAGGAAAAAAAGUAAUUUACAUGAAUGCUAACAAGCUGUAUUAGGUUCUCCUAAGAAAAAGAAUGUGUGUAUGUAUAGACACAUGCACACACACACACAUCUAUACAUAUACAUGGAGAGAGAGAGAGAAGGCUGAUUUUAAGUAAUUGAGUCAAUUAAAUAAUUGAUUUUAAAUAACUGUGGAAGCUCAGCAAAUCCAAAUUUUGCAAGGCAGACUGACAGGCUGGAGACCCAGGGGAGAGGUGAUGUUGAAGCUCUAGUCCAAAGGUUAUCCAGAGGCUGAAUUUUCUUGCUCUUGGUGGGUCUCAGACUUUUUCUGAGCCUUCAACUGAUUGGACGAGGCCCACCCACAUGAUGGAGUGUCAUCUGCUUUAUUUAAAAUGUACUGAUUUAAAUGUUCAUCUCACGUUAAAAACCCCUUCACAGAAACAUCUGGAAUAAUGCUUGACCAAAUACCUGAGUACAGACUGUGACCCAGUCAAGCUGACACAUGAAAUUAACCAUCACACUGUCGGACUCUGGGCAAGGGCCUCACUUAUCUUUGAACUUUACUUUCCUUGGAAAAUGAGGGAUGACUUUAUUUAGAGGGUUUGAGGUCAGUCUGGGCAACAUAGUAAGCCAUCAUCUCUGGUAUAAAAAAACAAAACUUAGCUGGGUAUGGUGGCAUGUGCCUGUGGUCCUAGCUACUGGGGAGGCUGAGGCGGGAGGAUCACCUGACUCCAAGAGGUCGAGGCUGGAGUGAGCAGUGAUCACAUCACUGCACUCCAGUCUAGGAGACUCUGUCUCCAAAAAAAAAAAAGAUAAAUAUGUUUGGAGUCUGUUCUCCAUUAUAAAUUUGGUGAUUCAUCGCUUUUAAGGGGCCAAUCAUGAGAAUGCCAAGUCCUCUUUGCACAGGGACGUAAGAAGCUGCACGUUACAGAGGCCCAAAUGUGGGUUCAUGGGCAGGUCGGGGUCCCACUUAGCAGGCCUGUGAUAUCAAGAAGGUGCUUGACACCACGGCCUCAGUCCCCUCCUCAGAUCCCUCACCCAGUUGUGGGUGUGAGGAUUUAAGUGGAGGCCCAGUUUCAGACAGAGUGGCUGCUCACUCAAGGCUGGUCGCUCUCCCCAGAUCUGUGUCUAUAGAGCACUUAGAAAAUUCCCCAACUGGGAACAGAUACCACCUUGCAUUACAGACUGUAUGUUUUUUACCCUUUGUUUUGCUAAUAGAAUGCUGAAUGAUUCACCAGGCAGACUUUUUAAAACAAAUUAACAGAACUGACUUAGCUAAACAAAUACGUUUUUUGUAUCAGUUGCAUAUACAACGAUAUAUAGGUCCUUUGAAAUUAGAACUUGAGACUAGUAGCCAGUUAUGACUCCUGAGCUCCUAGAAAGAAAAAAAAAGAAAACCUGGCUGGGCGCAGUGGCUCACACCUGUAAUCCCAGCACUUUGGAAGGCCAAGACAGGCGGAUCGCUUGAGGUCAGGAGUUCGAGAGCAGUCUGGACAACGUGGUGAAACCCUGUCUCUACUAAAAUACAAAAAUUAGCCGGGCGUGGUGGUGCACAACUGUAGUCCCAGCUACUCAGGAGGCUGAGGUGGGAGAAUUGCUUCAACCCGGGAGGCGGAGGUUGCAGGCAGUUAGCCGAGAUUGUGCCAUUGCACUCCAGCCUGGACGGCAAAGCAAGACUCCAUCUC